CGCAUUUCUUCUCCUUUUCCAGCUCAUGUGGGAUGUAAGUUUCAAAUGGACCAGCAUUUUAUAACUAAUAAAACCUCCAACCACUCAUAAUUAUAGACUUACAAUUAAUUGAGGAUUAGUCGCCAGUCAACUUGGAAGCAUAAAAAAAGAUGCAACAACUGAAUUGUUGAUCAAGAAACAUUGCAUUUUCUUGGUUGUUAAGACACUCGUGGUUCCCAUCUAUAAAAAGAAGACAAAAAUUCAAGAAUCAAAACCCACCACAUAAAUUUCCUUUCCUUAAACAUAGUAAAGUAAUAAUCCAGACAACUUAAUUAUUGAGAUGGCAGAAGUGAAGUUGCUUGGUGUUUCACUCAGUCCUUUUAGUCGCAGAGUUGAGUGGGCUCUGAAGAUUAAGGGUGUGGAAUAUGAAUUUAUAGAAGAAGACCUACAAAACAAGAGCCCUCUGCUUCUUCAAUCCAAUCCUGUUCACCAAAAAAUCCCAGUGCUAAUUCACAAUGGAAAACCCAUUUCUGAGUCUAUGAUCAUUCUUGAAUACAUUGAUGAAACAUUUGAAGGCCCUUCCAUUUUGCCUAAAGACCCUUAUGACCGAGCUUUAGCUCGUUUCUGGGCUAAUUUCCUUGAUGUUAAGGUAAGGUUGAAUUUGCUUUUGCUCAAUUUAACUUGUCCUUUUUCUUUUAAAUAUCGCCUUUAAUUGUUAAUUUGAACCUCUGCUACGUCAAUCUUUAAGGUCUGUGUAUAAAUAACUUCUCCCUGGACCUCAACCGUAAAAUUACACUAAGGUUGUUAUUGUUAUUGUUGCUAUGUCAAUAUUUUUUUUUUCAUUUUUCUUGCUCUUGCCUUCUUUCAAUUGGAAAUUAUGGUCGUGCUAUUACCGGUGGCAAAGCCGCAGGUUGAAUCAAAUUUGGGCUGGUCAAAACAUAACAACAACAACAACAAUAUAUUCCCACAAGGGUCUAGUCAAAACAUGUCAAGAUAAUAUAUAGCUUAGGCAAAUUGGGCGGGUUACAAGUAAAUUUAUAUAAUUCUCAAUCUCAAUUUUGAUUUUGUAUGCUUAGCUUUGGGUUGGAUUUUAAGACGUGGUGGGGAUACAUUGUUUUAACCCAUAUCGAUUCAACCUGUUCUAUCAAGUCAAUAAAUAAGUCAUAACCCAACCUGUUUAAGUUUGGACGAAUUACAAAUAAAUGGAUUGGUUUGGACCUCUAAUCGGGCAAUACAUACCAAUUUGCAGAAUAUAUUUGAUAAAAGUAGAAAUGUUUAGAACUCAAGAUUUGAGCUUUUUGCAGUGCAUAACUACAAUUGGAAAAGCUUUAUUUGGCAAAGGAGAGGAGUCAGACAAAGCUAAGGAGGAGUCUAGUGAACUGCUAAAGAUUCUUGAUAAUGAGCUCAAGGACAAAAAAUUCUUUGUAGGAGACAACUUUGGAUUUGCUGAUAUAGCUGCUAAUUUGAUGGCAUUUUGGCUGGGAAUUCUUGAAGAAGCCUCUGGAGUAAUUUUGGUGACAAGUGAAAAAUUUCCCAAUUUUUGUGCUUGGAAAGAUGAGUAUAUUAACUGCAGCCAAGUUAAGGAAUAUUUACCUUCAAGGGAUGUGUUACUUGCCCAUUUUCAAACUCGCUUUCAAACUGCAGCAGCUCCC
rnacentral:lncRNA from 1 species